rnacentral:rRNA from 1 species
AACGAACGCUGGCGGCAGGCUUAACACAUGCAAGUCGAACGAGAUCUUCGGAUCUAGUGGCAGACGGGUGAGGAACACGUGGGAACAUCCCUUUCAGUUCGGAAUAACGUUGGGAAACUAACGCUAAUACCGGAUACGUCCUUCGGGAGAAAGAUUUAUACGCUGAAAGAUUGGCCCGCGCCUGAUUAGCUAGUGGGUGAGGUAAUGUCGCACCAAGGCUACGAACAGGAGCUGAUCUGAGAGGAUGAUCAGCCACAUUAGGACUAGGACACAGCACAAACGCCUACGGGUGGGAGCAGUGGGGAAUAUUGGACAAUGGGCGCAAGCAUGAUCCAGCCAUGCCGCGUGAGUGAUGACGGCCUUCGGGUUGUAAAGCUCUUUUGUCCGAGAAGGCAAUGACUGUACCGGAAGAAUAAGCCCCGGCAAACUUCGUGCCAGCCUCCGCGGUACGAC